rnacentral:rRNA from 1 species
AUUGAACGCUGGCGGCAGGCUUAACACAUGCAAGUCGAGCGGGCGAGGUUGCUUCGGUAACUGAGCUAGCGGCGGACGGGUGAGUAAAGCUUAGGAAUCUGCCUAUUAGUGGGGGACAACAUUCCGAAAGGGAUGCUAAUACCGCAUACGUCCUACGGGAGAAAGCAGGGGAUCUUUAUGACCUUGCGCUAAUAGAUGAGCCUAAGUCGGAUUAGCUAGUUGGUGGGGUAAAGGCCUAUCAAGGCGACGAUCUGUAGCGGGUCUGAGAGGAUGAUCCGCCACACUGGGACUGAGACACGGCCCAGACUCCUACGGGAGGCAGCAGUGGGGAAUAUUGGACAAUGGGGGGAACCCUGAUCCAGCCAUGCCGCGUGUGUGAAGAAGGCCUUUUGGUUGUAAAGCACUUUAAGCGAGGAGGAGGCUUACCUGGUUAAUACCUGGGAUAAGUGGACGUUACUCGCAGAAUAAGCACCGGCUAACUCUGUGCCAGCCGCCGCCGUAAAAC